UCGUGCCUACGGGGGGCAGCAGUGGGGAAUAUUGCACAAUGGGGGAAACCCUGAUGCAGCAACGCCGCGUGAGUGAAGAAGUCAUUCGUGAUGUAAAGCUCUAUCAGCAGGGAAGAAAAUGACGGUACCUGAGUAAGAAGCCCCGGCUAACUACGUGCCAGCAGCCGCGGUAAUACGUAUGGAGCAAGCGUUAUCCGGAUUUACUGGGCGUAAAGGGAGCGUAGGCGGCCUGCCAAGUCUGAUGUGAAAUACCGGGGCUCAACCCCGGGGCUGCAUUGGAAACUGGCAGGCUGGAGUGCCGGAGG
rnacentral:rRNA from 1 species